AUUGAACGCUGGCGGCAUGCCUUACACAUGCAAGUCGAACGGUAACAGGUCUUCGGAUGCUGACGAGUGGCGAACGGGUGAGUAAUACAUCGGAACGUGCCCAGUCGUGGGGGAUAACUACUCGAAAGAGUAGCUAAUACCGCAUACGAUCUGAGGAUGAAAGCGGGGGACCUUCGGGCCUCGCGCGAUUGGAGCGGCCGAUGGCAGAUUAGGUAGUUGGUGGGAUAAAAGCUUACCAAGCCGACGAUCUGUAGCUGGUCUGAGAGGACGACCAGCCACACUGGGACUGAGACACGGCCCAGACUCCUACGGGAGGCAGCAGUGGGGAAUUUUGGACAAUGGGCGAAAGCCUGAUCCAGCAAUGCCGCGUGCAGGAUGAAGGCCUUCGGGUUGUAAACUGCUUUUGUACGGAACGAAAAAGCUUCUCCUAAUACGAGAGGCCCAUGACGGUACCGUAAGAAUAAGCACCGGCUAACUACGUGCCAGCAGCCGCGGUAAGAC
rnacentral:rRNA from 1 species